rnacentral:miRNA from 1 species
GAUCUCUCUCUCUCUCUCUCUCUCUCUCUCUAUAUAUAUAUAUAUAUAUAUAUAUAUAUAUAGAGAGAGAGAGAGAGAGAUCACCAUAUAUAUAUGAGAGAUCACUAUAUAUAUAUAUAUAUAUAUAUAUAUAUAUAGAGAGAGAGAGAGAGAGAGAGAGAGAGAUC